rnacentral:tRNA from 1 species
ACAUUAGUGGUUCAGUGGUAGAAUUCUUGCCUUCCAUGCUAGAGAGCCAGGUUGGAUUUCUGGCCAAUGCA